CACACAGAUGGUGGCCUGGUUGACUGUGGUACCUCCAGGUGAAUCUGAUAACUAGCAGGACUCUACACGAACCACUCUACUCUACAGAUGGCAAACUUUACUAUUGGAGUAAUACCUGUUGGAACGGGAGACUGAUUCUGAAGACAAUGACGAUAAAAGGAUGCCUUACACUACAAGCUGGCCGCAUUGGUUCAUUCAGUGUGUUACCUUUGGCAUCGAGGAACUCCGAUCCUGUUUCUGAGACCUUCACUGGUGCUCUGCAGUGUCAAGACGCCAGGAGGGGUGAGAGUAUUUUUAAAGUCCUGGCUUUGAACACUGGACAUGUGGAACUGCAGUGAAAGGACAGCCAUGCCGGUGGUCUGCUCUACAAUGUGCAGGAGACACAAAGGAGGGAAAUUGCAUUAAUAUUUGAAAUAAUGAAGCAGUGUGGUCAUUAGACUGGUCUCCUCUGCUUCCAUAGCAAUACAUUAAGGCUAGACAAGCGCCAUGUAUUUUACAUGGUCCUGUCAACGCAAAAGAUGGAUCCUGCGGCAUAAUGAUGUCCUCUUAAAAGGCUCUGUAGGUAGAAAGAAGAAAAAAAAAGACCGGAGAUUGUGUGUGUGUGUGUGUGUGUGUGUGUGUGUGUGUGUGUGUGUGUGUGUGUGUGUGUGUGUGUGUGUGUGUGUGUGUGUGUGUGUGUGGGUGUCAGACACCAGGCUGCUUCCUGUCCCUGGUCACACGGCUGACCUGAUUUGCCUUUUAAAGCCUCAGAGUUAGCUGUCUGAGUGUAUGCAUGCUUGUACACAAGCUUGUUUUGCACUAUUCCCAACACACUUACAUGCACACUUGUUCAUGAAACACACACACACACACACACACACACACACACACACACACACACACACACACACACACAGAGAGAGAGAGAGAGAGAGAGAGAGAGAGAUCUACAAUGUGAUGACCCUGAUUCACCUUUCACCUCAAGAGAGAUUUUGGUCCAAAUCCCCCCAUGUGGGACUGUCUGAGCCACUGACCUGCGUGUGAUCCUUCACCAAUAUUACUGAACACUAUCAAUGUGGAGGUGGAUUGUAGUGUGCGUGUGUGUGCCUGACAAGGAAGUGGAGGAAGUACAGUGACGUCCAUGCGAUUAUCACUUAGUAGGUCUCAGGGUUCAGUGUUUAUCGUUUCCUUUGACCUAAUGGGUUUCAGAUACAGACCGCACACACACCUCGAUCACAUUUUGUGCAGCCAAGAUGGAUUUCUCAGGAAAUCUGUGGCAUGUUUCAUGGCCCGACUACAGGAACACAACUAAAGCCAGGAGUGUUUUAGGCAGUGGCAGAUGGUGGUAAGACAAAGGGAUAAUUUUUCCAGGGAAGCAUAAAUCCUUAUUGCAAAAGAAGCCUAUAGGGUUUAUGGGUAAUGUAGGUUUUGUUUGAGAAACAUUUACCCUUUAACAGUUGUUGAAAGAUGAAUUAUCUCCCCUUUUUAAACUUCAAGAGCUUAAGCUGUAUUUCUAUUAACAUUAUAUUGCAAACCCUCUUCCCUUUUUCUCUUAGCAUCCUAGAGUACCCUUGCUCUGGUCUGACAAGGUUAUGUCAGGCAAUGUGCUCAGAGGAGCUAUUGAUUUCCCCUCCAACCUCUCAUUCCUUCUGCUUGUUUGUACUAUGGCCAGUGGGGGAAAAAAAAAAACAACAACAAAAAAACCCUCUUUUAGCACUCACAUUUUUCAGCACUUAUCAAAAAGUAGUAUCCUGUCCAAAUGUCAUAUGUCUGGGUUUCUUUUCAAGUACAUUUACAACAAAUGAUGACAGAUUAAAGCAGAAAUAUGAAAUGGAAAUGCUAAAUUCUGAUUCCUUCCCAUUACCAAAAAAGCUUUGCACACUUUACAAAUGGAGUAAACCCAUUUGUUUGUAGUGACAUUUGUGUGGCAAAUAUCUGUUUACUAAAAUUUCACAGAAUUAUGCUACUGUUUUUAGUGUAAAUAUCAGUUAAAAAUGUGCUUUUCAUUUUUGUCUUGAGACUGCAUCAAAUAUGACAGUCAACUUCAAAACAGCAGCUCAGUAUCCAUCAUACUAUUCUCUUAAUUUGGACAAAUAAGCAAAGAUGAACAAAAAUAACAGAAAUGUCCGUGUACGGAUCUGGUAAUUGGAGUUUCCGUUCUGAAACGGGUAUUGAAAAACAAAAAACGAGUGGUUAUUUGAUUUUCGUUUUAAAAUACAAAAAUUAAAAUUGAAAUACAAGGCGUUUUUCCUUUUCAUGAUCAAAAAGGGAUAUACGAUUUUUUAAAAAAAAUGCUUUUAUUUUCGUUUUAUAUUUAGAAUAACAAGAAAGUAAAAUCAGUAAGAGACAGAAACGAAAAAAGGUCAGUUUUUUCAUUUUCUGAGACCGGAAGUGGUCAUCAGCAAGUGGAGCCAAACAGAGUACGUGCAUAGACUGUACAUACAUUUUUUUCAUGAGUUUUCAUGGUCAAAAUGAGAGAUCAGGUGGCCGAUCUUAAAAUAAAUCUAUAUUGAUUUUUUUCUAUAGAGCGUUAAAGUUUUGCGAAGCCAGGGGGCGGGACUACUUGAUUGACAGUCCGGUCCGGAAUGAUUGACAGGUCCUAUGGAGGAGGCAGCAGAGUCUCUGCUCUCCUCGUUUGGAUUAAUUCUGAUAUAAUAACUGUUGGUUUAUUUAUCGGUGGAGCAGUACAACAUUUUCCACAGACAGUUUUCCUGCCCGUUGGCUUGUUUUAACCAGUUUUCUGCCUUCGGCUGAUUCUACCAGCAGACACUGAGAGGACUCUGAUAGUUCUGUAAGUAAAUGUUUAUUUUCGUAUCGGUGCCGCUUUUAAUGCACUUUAUAUGCAGCUUUACUGUCAGAUAUAAUGUGUGCCAUGCACUCCAGAUGUUGGUGGAGUUUGUUUCAGUGUGUGUUGACCAGAGAAGAAAGUUAGCAUAGUAAAUAUUAGCUUUAAUGUUAGCGAUGCUAACCGAGCUAGCUGCUCAGUGGUAGCCUGAUUAAAGAUAACGUAGCAUCAAGCUAAUGUGUUGAGUUUCAUGUAAACAGCUGAAGUGUGUUGUGUUCCUGUAAUGUGGUUCAUUAAGUUCAUAAAACUGUGGCUGGUUGACAUUAAUGUAACGUUCAGGAAACUUAAAUGUGAUUAAAACAGUAACGUUAAUGUUCUAGUUGUCAGUAAUCAGCUUUAAUUUGACACUAAAACAGACUGAUAGUUUUAAAUGACAUCAGUUUCAUUAAUUUGUUGAAAAUUGUCUCAUUUGUUGUUGUGAUGUUGCUGCUGAUUCAUUAAAAGCAGAUGAUCUGUGUUGAAGAUCCGUUUAGUUCUAGUAUCAGAAAUACAAGAAGGAAAAUGGAAGUUUAGUUCUGCUACAUCAAAGAUUUCAGGAUUAAAAUAACUAAAUGAGUCGUUAUGCCUCAAACUUAGUCAAAUCGUCUCGAGACAAUUUGACUGUAAUUGGCGCUAUAUAAAUAAAAUUGAAUUGAAUUGAAACUUUAUUUUUACAAUAAUGAAAUAAUCACAGAUAAUAAAAAUAUAAAUAGCAGAGAAAACCGGAGAGAAUAAUUUCCUGAAAAGUCUGUGAAGGAAAAGCAGCUUUUUAUCCUGAAAGAUCAGAAUCAGCUCCGACAUCUGCAUCUGACAGCAUCAAGUCAACCAGAAAGAAAAGAAAAAAGAAAAUGACUUCUUUCUGAUCACAUCUGUUUCACUGCUCACUGUCUGCUGCUGCUCACAUUCUUCACAUUUAUAGUCCACUUUUAAAAGUUCAGCAGACAGGUGCUCUGCUUUGGAGUGUGACGAUGUCGUUGGUGAUGUGGAGAGUGAAGUUUCCGUUUCACCCACAGCGUGCUUUAGGGCAGCCGGGUCGGACUUGAUGUUUGAAAUACUGACUGACAGCUCAGAUUUAACUGUCUGUUAUUCCGUUUUGAUGGGUGUUAAACAUUCACUCAAAGCUGCCAGGAGCUGGGUCUUUAAAACAACCGCCGUCUCGUUACAGAGUGAAAGUAGCAGUUCCUCCUUAACGUCAGAGAUUGCAGCAUCUGAGGACCUCGUCAAAAGAAGACGUAGUUGAUGAAGGCGUUCUGGAGCAGGACCAGAAAGACCACGACCAAGCAGCCAUGAGAUCUUAGGCAGCGUCUCCCUCAGGUGGGUGUCAACGGUGUUCACGGUCAGGUCUGUGGUAAUCCUGUCAAAAAACAAAACAGAAAAAAAUCUAGAUUAUAAAUCAACAUGUAACCAAAGCACUCUGUGUAUAACGCCAUAGUAUAGGAUGUAGUUCAGAAAAUGUCAAAGUAUAGUAUACUUUUCAAGAAUAACAUAGUAUGGCCUGUAGUUCAUAGUAUAGCAUGUUGGCAACAAAACCCAACUGAUUAUUAUGUGGUUCAAAAAGUGCAAAAUGAUAGGAUGUUGCCUAAAAUUGUCAUGUAUGAUAUGUGGUUCAAAAAACGUCAUAGUGCAGUAUAUUGUCAAAAUAGUAGGUUUUUCAAGAAAACAUCAGAGUAUAUGUCGUCUAAAAAAUGCCAUAGAAUAAUAUUUCAUUGCCCAAGUAAAACUAUAGUAAUUUUUAAAACUGUUCAAAUUCUUAUAAUGUGUUGCUAAAAAGCAAAAAAAAAACUAAAACAAAAAAAUCAUAGUAAUAUGUCAAUUUAAAAAGCCUAUAGUAUAGAGUGUCGCCCAACAAACGUCAUAGUAUAUCAUGUUGCUCAAAAAACAUUAUAGUAUAGCAUGUCGCUCUAAAAACGUCAUAGUAUAGCAUGUCGCUCUAAAACGUCAUAGUAUAGCAUGUCGCUCUAAAAACGUCAUAGUAUAGCAUGUCAUUCUAAAAAUGUUAUAGUAUAUCAUGUCGCUCUAAAACGUCAUAGUAUAGCAUGUCGUUCUAAAAAUGUUAUGACGUCACAGUAUAGCAUGUCGCUCUAAAAACGUCAUAGUAUAGCAUGUCGCUCUAAAAAUGUUAUACUGUAGCAUGUCGUUCUAAAAACAUCAUAGUAUAGCAUGUCCCUCUAAAAACAUUAUAGUAUAGCAUGUCGCUCUAAAUGUGUCGUAGUAUAGCAUGUCGCUCUAAAAACGUCAUAGUAUAGCAUGUCGCUCUAAAAACAUCAUAGUAUAGCAUGUCGCUUUAAAAACAUUAUAGUAUAGCAUGUCGCUCUAAAAACGUCAUAGUACAGCAUGUCGCUCUGAAACGUCAUAGUAUAGCAUGUCGCUCUAAAACCGUCAUAGUAUAGCAUGUCGCUCAAAAAAGUCAUAGUAUAGCCUGUCGCUCUAAAAAUGUCAUAGUAUAGCAUGUCGUCCAAAAACCGUCAUAGUAGAGCAUGUCGCUCUAAAAACGUCAUAGUAUAGCAUGUCGCUAUAAAAACGUCACAGUAUAGCAUGUCGCUCUAAAAACGUCACAGUAUAGCAUGUCGCUCUAAAAACAUCAUAGUAUAGCAUGUCGCUCUAAAAACGUCAUAGUAUAGCAUGUUGCUCUAAAACGCCAUAGUAUAGCAUGUCGCUCUAAAAACGUCAUAGUAUAGCAUGUCGCUCUGAAAACGUCAUAGUAUGUCCUGUCGCUCAAAAAACGUCAUAGUAUAGCAUGUCGUCCAAAAAACGUCAUAGUACAGCAUGUCACUCUAAAAACAUUAUAGUAUAGCAUGUCGCUCUAAAAACGUCAUAGUAUAGCAUGUCACUCUAAAACGUCCUAGUAUAGCAUGUCGAUCUAAAAACGUCAUAGUAUAGCAUGUCGCUCUAAAACGUCCUAGUAUAGCAUGUCGAUCUAAAAAUGUCAUAGUUUAGCAUGUCACUCUAAAAACGUCAUAGUAUAGCAUGUCGCUCUAAAAACGUCAUAAUAUAGCAUGUCGUUCUAAAACUGUCAUAGUGUAGCAUGUCGCUCUAAUAACGUCAUAGUGUAGCAUGUCGUUCUAUAAACGUCAUAGUAUAGCAUGUCACUCUAAAAGCGUCAUAGUAUAGCAUGUCGUUCUAAAAACGUCAUAGCAUAUCAUGUCACUCUAAAAACGUCAUAGUAUAGCAUGUCGCUCUAAAAACAUCAUAGUAUAACAAGUCGACCAAAAAACGUCAUAGUAUAGCAUGUCGCUCUAAAACGUCAUAGUAUAGCCUGUCGCUCUAAAAACGUCAUAGCAUAGCAUGUCGCUCAAAAAACGUCAUCGCAUAGCCUGUCGUUCUAAAAACGUCAUAGUAUAGCAUGUCGCUCUAAAAACGUCAUAGUUUAGCAUGUCGCUCUAAAAACGUCAUUGUAUAGCAUGUCGCUCUAAAAACGUCGUAGUAUACCAUGUUCCUCUAAAAAUGUCGUAGUAUAGCAUGUCGUCCAAAAAACGUCAUAACAUAGCAUGUCGCUCUAAAAACUACAUAGUAUAGCAUGUCGUCCAAAAAACGUCAUAGUUUAGCAUGUCGCUCUAAAAACGUCAUAGUAUAGCAUGUCGCUAUAAAAACGUCACAGUAUAGCAUGUCGCUCUAAAAACGUCAUAGCAUAGCAUGUCGCUCUAAAAACGUCAUAGUAUAGCAUGUCGUCCAAAAAACAUCAUAGUAUAGCAUGCCGCUCUAAAAACAUUAUAGUAUAGCAUGUCGCUCUAAAAAUGUCAUAGUAUAGCAUGUCGCUCUAAAACGUCAUAGUAUAGCAUGUCGCUCUAAAAACGUCAUAGUAUAGCAUGUCGCUCUAAAAACGUCAUAGUAUAGCAUGUCGCUCUAAAAACGUCAUAGUAUAGCAUGUCGUUCUAAAAACAUCAUAGUAUAGCAUGUCGUUCUAAAAACGUUACAGUAUAGCAUGUCGUUCUAAAAAUGUUAUAGUAUAGCA